rnacentral:ncRNA from 1 species
AAAAGCGGUUAUAAGGGCGCAUGGUGGAUGCCUUGGCUUUGAACAGCGAUGAAGGACGUAGCGUGCUUGCGAUAAGCGUCGGGGAGGUGGCUAGCAACCUUUGAUCCGGCGAUGUCCGAAUGGGGGAACCCCGAUACGCUUCGCUGAUGCGAAGCGUUACAAAAUUAAAAAUUUAAAAAUCAAAAUGCAAAAUUUAUGAUUGCGCCUUCGGCGCUUCCAUUAUUUUUCACUUUGAGAUUUGCAUUUUACAUUUGUAGCGACGCAUCAGCGGAGCGUAUUGACCUGCCGUGUAAUAGCGGUAUGGAGCAAACCCACUGAAGUGAAACAUCUCAGUAAGUGGAGGAACAGAAAAAAAGAAAACCACUAAUUUUUACGAAUUUCUGCACGAAAUUAUACGAAAACUUUUCGUACGUAUUUGUGGAGUGAAUUCGUAACUAUUGGCGGUUUAACAUUCCCGUAGUAGCGGCGAGCGAACUGGGAACAGCCCAAACCAACCGUGCCCAGCACGGAAAUUCCAAAUUACAAAAUCCAAAUUCCAAACAAAUUCCAAAUUCUAAAUUUCAAAAAUCUAAACGUUUUGAAUUUAAGAUUUUGGUCAUUCGAUAUUGUUUGUGACUUGGUGCUUGGAAAUUGGUGCUUCCGCGCUGUGCGCGGCUUGGGGUUGUAAGAUGAUGAUUCUGAUUUAAUUCGGUGCGAGCAAACAAAAAUCGAAACUUCGUUAGGAGAAUGGUCCUGGAACGGCCAACCAUAGGAGGUAAUAGUCCUGUAAACGAAAACGGUUUCGUGCUCUAAUCAUUAUUCUUGAGUACUGCCCGGCAUGACGACCGGGUAGGAAGCAGGGAGGACUAGUCUCCCAAGGCUAAAUAUGUUCAAAGACCGAUAGUGAACCAGUACCGUGAGGGAAAGGUGAAAAGCAGCCCGGUGAGGGCGGUGAAAUAGUACCUGAAACCAUGUGCUUACAAGGAGUCGAAGCCGUGCUUUGCACGGAAAUCCCAAAUUACAAAUCCCAAAUUACAAACAAAUCCCAAAUUCUGAAUUUCAAAAUUUCAAACACGUUUUGAAUUUAGGAUUUUGGGCAUUCGAUAUUGUUUGGAAAUUGGUGCUUAGGAUUUGGUGCUUCCGCGCAGAGCGCGGUGACGGCGUGCCUAUUGAAGAAUGAGCCAACGAGUGUAUGGAGACUGCUUAACUAAACCAUUUUAUGGUGAAGUUGUAGGGAAACCGAGUGUUAAUAGCGCGAAUCUUUACGAAUUACGAAUUAAAAUGCGAAUAUACGAAUUUCGUAUAUUCGUAUGAUUCGUAUUUCGUAAAAGUGUAGUCCUCAUACGACCCGAAACCAGGUGAGCUACCCAUGAGCAGGGUGAA